rfam:Dipodomys ordii contig_64922, whole genome shotgun sequence.
GGGAAAGUGGCUCAGUGGUAGAGCGCUUGCCUUGUAUACAUGAGGCACUGGGUUCGAUUCCUCAGCACCA